CGGGAAAAAAGGCAAAUUAUCCGCAAGGAUAAGACGCAAAGCUUCCGGUCCUGAGCGAACGAAGUGAGUCGAAGGAUAGCGGAGUUACCAAA
rfam:Omnitrophica WOR_2 bacterium GWB2_45_9 gwb2_scaffold_6658, whole genome shotgun sequence.